UACGUGGGGAGCAAGCGUUGUUCGGAUUUACUGGGCGUAAAGGGCGCGUAGGCGGCGUGACAAGUCACUUGUGAAAUCUCCGGGCUUAACUCGGAACGGUCAAGUGAUACUGUCGUGCUAGAGUACAGAAGGGGCAACUGGAAUUCUCGGUGUAGCGGUGAAAUGCGUAGAGAUCGGGAGGAACACCCGUGGCGAAGGCGGCCAUCUGGACCAGCACUGACGCGGAGGCACGAAAGCGUGGGGAGCAAACAGG
rnacentral:rRNA from 1 species